GACGAACGCUGGCGGCGUGCUUAACACAUGCAAGUCGAACGGUGAAGCGCCUUCCUUUUUGGUGGGUGUGGAUGAGUGGCGAACGGGUGAGUAACACGUGAGUAACCUGCCCCCUUCUUCUGGAUAACCGCAUGAAAGUGUGGCUAAUACGGGAUAUUCUGGGUCUGUCGCAUGAUGGGUCUGGGAAAGAUAUUGUUUCGGUGGGGGAUGGGCUCGCGGCCUAUCAGCUUGUUGGUGGGGUGAUGGCCUACCAAGGUGGUGACGGGUAGCCGGCCUGAGAGGGUGGACGGUCACACUGGGACUGAGACACGGCCCAGACUCCGACGGGAGGCAGCAGUGGGGAAUAUUGCACAAUGGGCGCAAGCCUGAUGCAGCGACGCCGCGUGAGGGAUGGAGGCCUUCGGGUUGUGAACCUCUUUCGCCAGUGAAGCAGGCCUGCCUCGUUUGUGGGUGGGUUGACGGUAGCUGGAUAAGAAGCGCCGGCUAACUACGUG
rnacentral:rRNA from 1 species